CCUACGGGGGGCAGCAGUGGGGAAUAUUGCGCAAUGGGCGAAAGCCUGACGCAGCGACGCCGCGUGAGGGAUGAAGGUCUUCGGAUCGUAAACCUCUGUCAGCAGGGAAGAACGGUCACUGUGCUAAUCAGCAGUGAAUUGACGGUACCUGCAAAGGAAGCACCGGCUAACUCCGUGCCAGCAGCCGCGGUAAUACGGAGGGUGCGAGCGUUAAUCGGCAUUACUGGGCGUAAAGCGCUCGUAGGCGGUAUGUCAAGUCAAGGGUGAAAGCCCCGCGCUCAACGUGGGAACUGCCUUUGAAACUGGCAAACUGGAGUGUGUGAGAGGAUAGUGGAAUUCCAGGUGUAGGAGUGAAAUCCGUAGAUAUCUGGAGGAACAUCAGUGGCGAAGGCGACUAUCUGGCACAUAACUGACGCUGAGGAGCGAAAGCGUGGGUAGCAAACAGGAUUAGAUACCCGAGUAGUC
rnacentral:rRNA from 1 species